rnacentral:rRNA from 1 species
GUAGGGUAAAGGCCUACCAAGGCGACGAUCUAUAGCUGGUCUGAGAGGACGAUCAGCCACACUGGGACUGAGACACGGCCCAGACUCCUACGGGAGGCAGCAGUGGGGAAUAUUGGACAAUGGGCGCAAGCCUGAUCCAGCAAUACCGCGUGUGUGAAGAAGGCCCUAGGGUUGUAAAGCACUUUCAAUGGGGAGGAAAACCUGCCGGCCAAUACCCGGUAGCUUGACAUUACCUUUAGAAGAAGCACCGGCUAACUCCGUGCCAGCAGCCGCGGUAAUACGGAGGGUGCGAGCGUUAAUCGGAAUUACUGGGCGUAAAGCGUGCGUAGGCGGUUCGUUAAGUCAGAUGUGAAAGCCCUGGGCUCAACCUGGGAACUGCAUUUGAAACUGGCGGACUAGAGUUUAGUAGAGGGGAGUGGAAUUUCAGGUGUAGCGGUGAAAUGCGUAGAUACCUGAAGGAACACCAGUGGCGAAGGCGACUCCCUGGACUAAAACUGACGCUGAGGUACGAAAGCGUGGGUAGCAAACAGGAUUAGAUACCCUGGUAGUCCACGCCGUAAACGAUGUCGACUAGCCGUUGGUCCUAUUUACAGGAUUAGUGGCGCAGCUAACGCAUUAAGUCGACCGCCUGGGGAGUACGGCCGCAAGGUUAAAACUUAAAUGAAUUGACGG